GGCUUGGUAGCUUAGUUGGUAAAGCACUUGUCUAGCGAAUAAGGGUCGUGAGUUCAAAUCUCACCUGAGCUG
rfam:Aedes albopictus isolate Foshan contig1021, whole genome shotgun sequence.